rnacentral:rRNA from 1 species
GUGGGGAAUUUUGGACAAUGGGCGCAAGCCUGAUCCAGCAAUGCCGCGUGCAGGAAGAAGGCCUUCGGGUUGUAAACUGCUUUUGUACGGAACGAAACGGUCCGGGUUAAUACCCUGGGCUAAUGACGGUACCGUAAGAAUAAGCACCGGCUAACUACGUGCCAGCAGCCGCGGUAAUACGUAGGGUGCAAGCGUUAAUCGGAAUUACUGGGCGUAAAGCGUGCGCAGGCGGUUUUGUAAGACAGGCGUGAAUUCCCCGGGCUCAACCGGGGAAUUGCGCUUGUGACUGCAAGGCUGAAGUGCGGCAGAGGGGGAUGGAAUUCCGCGUGUAGCAGUGAAAUGCGUAGAUAUGCGGAGGAACACCGAUGGCGAAGGCAAUCCCCUGGGCCUGCACUGACGCUCAUGCUCGAAAGCGUGGGGAGCAAACAGGAUUAGAAACCCGUGUAGUCC